AUUCAAUUAGUUUAAUUAAAAUAUUAAAUUGUGGUUUUAAAGAUAUUUUUUGAUAUUGAAUA
rnacentral:tRNA from 1 species